UCGAGAAUAUUCGACAAUGGACGAAAGUCUGAUCGAGCGACGCCGCGUGAAGGAUGAAGCCCCUCGGGGCGUAAACUUCUUUUAGCAGGGAAGAACUCAAUGACGGUACCUGCAGAAUAAGGGCUUGCAAAUCUCGUGCCAGCAGCCGCGGUAAUACGAGAGGCCCGAGCGUUAUCCGGAGUUACUGGGCGUAAAGGGUGUGUAGGGGGUUGCGUUAGUCUUUGUUUAAAUCUUUGGGCCCAACCCAAAAACUGGCAAGGAAACGGCGCAACUUGAGGAUGUGAGAGGCGAGUGGAACUCAUGGUGGAGGGGUGAAAUCCGUUGAUAUCAUGGGGAACACCAAAGGCGAAGGCAGCUCGCUGGCGCAUACCUGACCCUGAAACACGAAAGCGUGGGGAUC
rnacentral:rRNA from 1 species